CGCAUCUGUGCAUGCAGCAUAUCAAUAAGCGGAGGAAAAGAAACUAACAAGGAUUCCCCUAGUAACGGCGAGUGAAGCGGGAAGAGCUCAAAUUUGAAAUCUUAAAGGGUUUCCCUUUACGAAUUGUAGUUUAAAGAAGUGUUUUCUGUUGAGGUUUUGGUAAAAGUUCUUUGGAAUAGGACAUCAUAGAGGGUGAGAAUCCCGUAUUUGACCUUUACUUUCAACUCUGUGAUACACUUUCAAAGAGUCGGAUUGUUUGGGAAUGCAGUCCAAAAUGGGUGGUAAAUUUCAUCUAAAGCUAAAUAUUGGCGAGAGACCGAUAGCGGACAAGUACCGUGAGGGAAAGAUGAAAAGAACUUUGAAAAGAGAGUUAAACAGUACGUGAAAUUGUCAAAAGGGAAGCGUUUGACACCAGUGUUGUUUUUCUGAAAAUCAAUUAAAGAACUGUUUAUGCUAAGUUGUUUAGACUUUAUCAGCUAUCUGUUUAGUUUUGAGCUUUUCUUUAAUGCACUUUUCAGUUAACAAGUCAACAUCAAUUUCUUUUGCUGUAAAAAAGCUUGAGGAAGGUGGCUUGAGAUUCGUCUUAAGUGUUUAUAGCCUCUUGCCUAUGCAGUCGGAGAGAUUGAGGUCUGCAGCGUAGAUCCUUCGGGGCUAAAUGCAUUUGUGCUAAGUUAUAGCAUUUUAUAGACAACUUGCUGACUAUGAUUUGUCUUGUAGCUUACUCGCUUAUGUUAUUUUACCUACGCUUAGGAUGUUGAGUCGUAGAGCACGCAG
rnacentral:rRNA from 1 species